CACAAGCGGUGGAGCAUGUGGUUUAAUUCGAAGCUACGCGAAGAACCUUACCAGGUCUUGACAUCUUCUGCUAACCUAAGAGAUUAGGCGUUCCCUUCGGGGACGGAAUGACAGGUGGUGCAUGGUUGUCGUCAGCUCGUGUCGUGAGAUGUUGGGUUAAGUCCCGCAACGAGCGCAACCCUUAUUAUUAGCUGCCAGCAUUAAGUUGGGCACUCUAGUGAGACUGCCGGUGACAAACCGGAGGAAGGUGGGGACGACGUCAAAUCAUCAUGCCCCUUAUGACCUGGGCUACACACGUGCUACAAUGGACGGUACAACGAGUUGCGAGACCGCGAGGUUUAGCUAAUCUCUUAAAACCGUUCUCAGUUCGGACUGCAGGCUGCAACUCGCCUGCACGAAGUUGGAAUCGCUAGUAAUCGCGGAUCAGCAUGCCGCGGUGAAUACGUUCCCGGGCCUUGUACACACCGCCCGUCACACCAUGAGAGUUUGUAACACCCAAAGCCGGUGGAGUAACCUUCGGGAGCUAGCCGUCUAAGGUGGGACAGAUGAUUGGGGUGAAGUCGUAACAAGGUA
rnacentral:rRNA from 1 species